rnacentral:rRNA from 1 species
UACGUAGGGUGCGAGCGUUAAUCGGAAUUACUGGGCGUAAAGCGUGCGCAGGCGGUUUUGUAAGCCGGAUGUGAAAUCCCCGGGCUUAACCUGGGAAUGGCAUUCGGGACUGCAAGGCUGGAGUGCGGCAGAGGAGACUGGAAUUCCUGGUGUAGCAGUGGAAUGCGUAGAGAUCCGGAAGAACACCGGUGGCGAAGGCGGCCUGCUGGGCAGUUGCUGACACUGAGGCGCGACAGCGUGGGGAGCAAACAGGG